ACGGAGGGUGCAAGCGUUAAUCGGAUUUAUUGGGCGUAAAGGGCGCGUAGGCGGGGAAGCAAGUUAGAUGUGAAAUCCCGGGGCUCAACUCCGGACCCGCAUCUAAUACUGCUUUUCUAGAGGAUGGAUGGAGAAAAGGGAAUUCCACGUGUAGCGGUGAAAUGCGUAGAUAUGUGGAAGAACACCAGUGGCGAAGGCGCUUUUCUAAUUCAUUCCUGACGCUGAAGCGCGAAAGCAAGGGGAGCAAACAGGA
rnacentral:rRNA from 1 species